AUGCAACGCGAAGAACCUUACCAGGGUUUGAAAUCAUGCGAAUCCCCCUGAAAAGAGAGGGUGCCUUCGGGAGCGCAGUGACAGGUGGUGCAUGGCUGUCGUCAGCUCGUGUUGUGAAAUGUCGAGUUAAGUCUCGUAACGAGCGCAACCCAUGUCCUUGUUGCCAUCAUUCAGUAGAGAAACUGCCGACCAUAAUCGGAGGAAGGUGUGGAUGAUGUCAAGUCAGCAUGCCCCUUACAUCCUGGGCUACACACGUACUACAAUGGUAAGGACAAAGGGUUGCGAGCCCGCGAUGGCUAGCCAAUCCCAAAAACCUUGGCUCAGUUCGGAUUGCACUCUGCAACUCGCCUGCAUGAAGGAGGAAUCGCUAGUAAUCGCUGGUCAGCAUACUGCGGUGAAUACGUUCCCCGGCCUUGUACACACUGCCCGUCACA
rnacentral:rRNA from 1 species